CACGUAGGGCGCAAGCGUUGUCCGGAAUUAUUGGGCGUAAAGAGCUCGUAGGCGGUCUGUUACGUCUGCUGUGAAAACCCGGGGCUUAACCCUGGGCUUGCAGUGGAUACGGGCAGACUAGAGGCAGGUAGGGGAGAAUGGAAUUCCCGGUGUAGCGGUGAAAUGCGCAGAUAUCAGGAGGAACACCGGUGGCGAAGGCGGAUCUCUGGGCCUUACCUGACGCUCAGGCGCGAAAGCUAGGGGAGCGAACAGG
rnacentral:rRNA from 1 species